GAUGAACGCUGGCGGCGUGCCUAAUACAUGCAAGUCGAGCGAAUGGAUUGAGAGCUUGCUCUUAUGAAGUUAGCGGCGGACGGGUGAGUAACACGUGAGUAACCUGCCCAUAAGGCUGGGAUAACUCCGGGAAACCGGGGCUAAUACCGGCUAACAUUUUGAACCGCAUGGUUCGAAAUUGAAAGGCGGCUUCGGCUGUCACUUAUGGAUGGACCCGCGUCGCAUUAGCUAGUUGGUGAGGUAACGGCUCACCAAGGCAACGAUGCGUAGCCGACCUGAGAGGGUGAUCGGCCACACUGGGACUGAGACACGGCCCAGACUCCUACGGGAGGCAGCAGUAGGGAAUCUUCCGCAAUGGACGAAAGUCUGACGGAGCAACGCCGCGUGAGUGAUGAAGGCUUUCGGGUCGUAAAACUCUGUUGUUAGGGAAGAACAAGUGCUAGUUGAAUAAGCUGGCACCUUGACGGUACCUAACCAGAAAGCCACGGCUAACUACGUGCCAGCCGCCGCAGUAA
rnacentral:rRNA from 1 species